CGUCUAGGCGGCGGGGCAAGUCCCGCGUGAAAGCUCCCGGCUCAACUGGGAGAGUGCGUGGGAAACUGCCUGGCUAGAGACUCGGAGAGGGGUGUGGAAUUCCCGGUGGAGUGGUGAAAUGCGUUGAGAUCGGGAGGAACACCAGUGGCGAAGGCGGCACCCUGGCCGAGGUCUGACGCUGAAGCGCGACAGCGUGGGGAGCGAACG
rnacentral:rRNA from 1 species